GGACUACACGGGUUUCUAAUCCCGUUCGCUCCCCAUGCUGUCGUGUCUGAGCGUCAGGUACGAGCCAGGGCGCCGCCUUCGCCUCUGGGGUUCCUCCGGAUCUCUACGCAUUUCACCACUACACCCGGAAUUCCACGCCCCUCUCUCGUCCUCCAGAAAAACAGUCUGGCAUAACCCCGCCACGUUAAGCCUGGCGAUUUCAUACACCACUUGUUUCCCCGCCUGCACACCCUUUACGCCCAGUAAAUCCGGAUAACGCUUGCCACCUACGUUUUACCGCGGCUGCUGGCAC
rnacentral:rRNA from 1 species